GAUUAUGGCUCAGGAUGAACGCUAGCUACAGGCUUAACACAUGCAAGUCGAGGGGCAGCAUGAUUGAAGCUUGCUUCAAUUGAUGGCGACCGGCGCACGGGUGAGUAACACGUAUCCAACCUUCCGUACACUCAGGGAUAGCCUUUCGAAAGAAAGACUAAUACCUGAUGGUAUCUUAAGCACACAUGUAAUUAAGAUUAAAGAUUUAUCGGUGUACGAUGGGGAUGCGUU
rnacentral:rRNA from 1 species